CUCUUAUCCAGAGAGGCGGAGGGACUGGCCCGACGAUGCCCGGCAACCGGUUUAACAACACGGUGCUAAUUCCAGCAGAGCAAAGUCUCUGGCCGAUAAGAA
rnacentral:ncRNA from 2 species